rnacentral:lncRNA from 1 species
AGUCAUAUGUUUGAGAAAUUGAAGUAAUAGCAUUUCUAAGGUAUUUGAAUAACGCGCCACAGGAUUCCACUGGCUGUUACGUAGGUGGGACGAUUUCGUCCCACCGACCCCAGAUGUCAUGCUGUAUUAUGAUGGGCCAAUCUUAUACAUUAUAUAAUACAUUGUCACAAACACUGAGAGAAUGGCACUGCAAUAGAUAGUAGCCAGUUUACAGGCUCCUGACCAAUAUAUUGCUAUAUUGUGUGUUAUUUUGCGCUGAUAACUUUUUUGUACAUAAUGACUCGCCAUCGUUUUCUAUGACUGAAAAGAGCUUCUGGACAUCGGAACAGCUAUCACUAACCUCGAUUUGGAUGAAGAGUUGUACCUCAACGAGUCAGAGGUACAGGACAUACUGUUCACCUUGGACCAGACCCUAAUCCCAGAGACUCAGAAAAGAAAAAGGCAGCGUAAGAGGUAGAUGUGCGGGCAGUGUUAUGAGACUAAAAUUGUUAUGGAAUGUAAUAUCAUGUAAUAUUUUCAAUUGUGUAUUACUGUCUGAAUGUUGCUGAACCCCAGGAAGGAUAACUGCUGCCUUGGCUAAUGGGGAUCCUUAAUAAAUACAAAUACAAAUGCAAAAGUAAUACUUCAAAAAAUGUGUCAAAGCAAUUAACUUUUUGUCCUGAAUACAAAUUAUUGUUAUGUCUGGGGCAAAUUCAAUACAACACAUUACUGAGUACCACUCUCCAUAUUUUCAAGCAUAGUGGUUGCUGUAUCAUGUUAUGGGUAUGCUUGUAAUCGUUAAGGACUAGGGAGUUUUUUAGGAUAAAAAGAAACUGAAUGGAGCUAAGAACAGGCAAAAACCCAAAUCCUGUUUUCCACCAGAUACUGGGAGAUGAAUUCAUCUUUCAGCAGGACAAUAACCUAAAACACAAGGCUAAAUCUACACUGGAGUUGCUUACCAGUGAAUGUUCCUGAGUGGCUGAGUUACAGUUUUGACAUAAAUCUUCUUGAAAAUCUAUGGCAAGACCUGAAAAUGGUUGUCUAACAAUGUUUAGCAACCAAUUUGACAGAGCUUGAAUAAUUAUUUCUAAGGAAUAAUGGGCAAAUGUUGCACAAUCCAGGUGUGGAAAGCUCUUAGGGACUUACCCAGAAUGACUCAUAGCUGUAAUCACUACCAAAGGUGCUUCUAAAAAGUAUUUACUCAGGGUUCUGUAUUUCAUUUUCAAUAAAUUUGCGAACAUUUCUGAAAACAUGAUUUCACUUUGUCAUUAUUGGGUAUUGUGUGUAGAUGGGUGAUACAGAUAUAUAUUUAACCCAUUUUGAAUUCAGGCUGUAGCACAACAAAAUGUGGAAUAAGUCAAGGGGUAUGAAUACUUUCUGAAGGUACUGUAUGUAGGCCUAAAAAACAUAUAUCUUUAUUAUAUUCCAGUCUAUGUUAUGUUAGGCUAUGUUAUGUUCUCGGCUGUAUUAUGUUCUCGGCUGUAUUAUGUUCCAGGCUAUAUUAUGUUCCAGGCUAUAUUAUGUUCCAGGCUAUAUUAUGUUCCAGGCUAUAUUGUGUUCCAGGCUAUAUCGUGUUCCAGGCUAUAUCGUGUUCCAGGCUAUAUCGUGUUCCAGGCUAUAUUGUGUUCCAGGCUAUAUUAUGUAUGGCUAUAUCAUGUUCCAGGAUAUAUAAUGUUCCAGGCUAUAUUAUGUUUCAGGCUAUAUUAUGUUGUAGGCUUUAUUCCAUGUGUAACUCUGUGUUGUUGUUGUUUAUGUCGCACUGCUUUGCUUUAUCUUGGCCAGGUCGCAUUUGUAAAUGAGAACUUGUUCUCAACUAGCUUACCUGGUUAAAUAAAGGUUAAAUAAAAUAUAUAUAUACAAUAUAUUAUGUUCCAGGCUAUAUUAUGUUCUAGGCUAUACAGUGAGGGGAAAAAAGUAUUUGAUCCCCUGCUGAUUUUGUACAUUUGCCCACUGACAAAGAAUGAUCAGUCUAUAUUUUAAUGGUAGGUUUAUUUGAACAGUGAGAGACAGAAUAACAACAAAAAAAUCCAGAAAAACGCAUGUCAAAAAUGUUAUAAAUUGAUUUGCAUUUUAAUGAGGGAAAUAAGUAUUUGACCCCCUCUCAAUCAGAAAGAUUUCUGUCUCCCAGGUGUCUUUUAUACAGGUAACGAGCUGAGAUUAGGAGCACACUCUUAAAGGGAGUGCUCCUAAUCUCAG